rnacentral:rRNA from 1 species
AACGAACGCUGGCGGCAUGCCUAACACAUGCAAGUCGAACGAGACCUUCGGGUCUAGUGUCGCACGGGUGCGUAACGCGUUGGAACCUGCCCUUAGGUUCGGAAUAACUCCCCGAAAGGGGUGCUAAUACCGGUUAAUGUCUUCGGACCAAAGAUUUAUCGCCUUUGGAUGGGCCCGCGUUGGAUUAGCUAGUUGGUAGGGUAAAAGCCUACCAAGGCGACGAUCCAUAGCUGGUCUGAGAGGAUGAUCAGCCACACUGGGACUGAGACACGGCCCAGACUCCUACGGGAAGCAGCAGUGGGGAAUAUUGGACAAUGGGCGAAAGCCUGAUCCAGCAAUGCCGCGUGAGUGAUGAAGGCCUUAGGGUUGUAAAGCUCUUUUACCCGGGAUGAUAAUGACAGUACCGGGAGAAUAAGCUCCGGCUAACUCCGUG